UACGGAGGAUCCAAGCGUUGUCCGGAUUUAUUGGGUUUAAAGGGUGCGUAGGCGGAUUAUUAAGUCAGAGGUGAAAGCCGGCAGCUCAACUGUCGAAUUGCCUUUGAAACUGAUAAUCUUGAGUAUAGUUGAGGUGGGCGGAAUGUGACAUGUAGCGGUGAAAUGCUUAGAUAUGUUACAGAACACCGAUUGCGAAGGCAGCUCACUAAACUAUUACUGACGCUGAGGCACGAAAGCGUGGGGAUCAAACAGG
rnacentral:rRNA from 1 species